UCGCCUCCUCCCUGCGCACCCUCCACCCCUUUCUCCGCCUCGCCCUCCCCAGGUUCUACACGUGCCUCUAAACGUCCAUCAGGACCUUGGUUCUGAGACCUAAGUGUGUGCCGACUCCCCUUGGUGCUGCAAGGGGCGACCUGCUGCCUCGGUGCCAGAGGAAGAGACUGGGCCUGAGAAGGGGGGUGACUUGUCCGAGGUGUCCGGGCCUGUAGGUGGGAUUGCUGACCGGGCUCAGGCUCCCAGGCCAAGUGUCGUGCCCACUGUAUUACCGUUUUCUUAAUAAAAGAUUAAGUGCAGCGCUAACCAAGUUUAGUCGGAUAAGCAAAACCAUGCCCCAGUGCACGUUUAUCUCAUUUUUGAGAGCUCAUAUCCUGCGUUCCUCUGUGUUCUCUGAUUUUUCACACUUGAAAGAAACUGUAAGAAAAUAGGUAAACAGUAUAAUGGGAUUUCCCCCCACCUUUUAUUUAAUGGUGGCCAACUAUUGAAAAAGGAGUCUGUUUAUAUUCACCAAUGAGAGUAACGCACCUCAGUACCUCUGAUCCUUUCCGGAUUACAAUGGUUCAGGUGUGUUUCUCCUCUGCCACCCUUUAGUCCCUUUUGAGUGUCCACAGGGUGUCAUUUUAUUGAGUUCUCUUUGGUGAUUCUUAGCAGGAGGUUCUUGGUUGGACAGGCCAGGUUCCUCAUGACUUCAAUUACUUGCUUCUUCUGCCCUAGGUUCACUGUUAAAGAUUUCUGCACUUUUCCAAGAGCAGCAGAAAAUGCAUGAGUCCCAGGGACCAGUGUCAUUCAGGGACGUAGCCGUGGACUUCACGCAGGAGGAGUGGCAGCAGCUGGACCCUGCUGAGAAGACAACCUACAGGGAUGUGAUGCUGGAGAACUACAGCCACCUCGUCUCCGUGGGGUACGACAGCACCAAACCCAGUGUGAUCGUCAAGUUGGAGCAGGGAGAAGAGCCGUGGGGCGCAGAAGGGGACUUUCCAUGCCAGAGUUGCCCAGAAGAAAUCAGGAAAGUUGAUGACGUGUUAGACAGAAUCCAAGAAAAUGAAGAUGAAUGUUCAAGGCAAGCUGUUUAUAUCAAUAGCAAAAUCCUAAUUGAAGAGAGAGAGAAUGCAGAAGCAAACCUUGUUCCUUCAAGCAUAUCUCAUAAUUGUGUCUCAUGUGGAAAAAAUUUGGAAUCUAGUUCAGAAUUAAUUAUUAGUGAUGGAAGCUAUGCAAGAAAGAAACCUGAUGAGUGUAGUGAAUGUGGGAAAACAAACCAUGGAGAGAAACCCUGUGAAUUUAAUCAAAAUGGGGAUGACUUUUCUCAAAAUGAAGGAAGUAUUCAGAAAAUUAAUAUUUUAGAGAAACCCUUUGAGUAUAAUGAAUGCAUGGAAGCCUUAGACAAUGAAACCGUUUUCAUUACUCAUAAGAGAGCUUAUAUGGGGGAGAAGCCCUGUGAGUGGAGUGAUUCUGGACCAGACUUUCUCCAAAUGUCAAAUUUUCAUAUGUACCAGAGAUCACAGAUGGAACUGAAGCCCUUUGAAUGCAGCGAAUGUGGGAAAUCCUUUUGUAAAAAGUCAAAAUUCAUUAUACAUCAGAGGGCUCACACAGGAGAGAAACCUUAUGCAUGUAAUGUAUGUGGCAAAUCCUUCAGCCAGAAGGGAACCCUCACUGUACAUCGGAGAUCACACUUAGAGGAGAAGCCCUAUAAAUGUAAUGAGUGUGGGAAAACCUUCUGUCAGAAGUUACAUCUCACUCAACAUUUAAGAACUCAUUCAGGAGAGAAACCUUAUGAAUGUAGUGAAUGUGGCAAAACCUUCUGCCAGAAGACACAUCUCACCCUCCACCAGAGAAAUCAUUCAGGAGAGAGACCCUAUCCAUGUAACGAGUGUGGGAAAUCCUUCUCCCGCAAGUCAGCCCUCAGUGAUCAUCAGAGAACACACACGGGAGAGAAACUUUAUAAAUGUAAUGAAUGUGGGAAAUCCUACUACCGAAAAUCUACCCUUAUUACACAUCAGAGAACACACACGGGAGAGAAACCUUAUCAGUGUAGUGAGUGUGGAAAAUUCUUUUCUCGGGUCUCAUACCUCACUAUACAUUAUAGAAGCCAUUUAGAAGAGAAACCCUAUGAGUGUAAUGAGUGUGGCAAAACCUUCAAUUUAAAUUCAGCCUUCAUUAGACAUCGGAAAGUACACACAGAUGAGAAACCCCUUGAAUGUAGUGAAUGCGGAAAGUUCUCUCAGUUCUCAUAUGUUACUGACCAUCACACAACUCAUUUAGGAGAGAAAGCCUAUGAAUGUAAUGAAUGUGGGAGAACCUUCCUUGAAAAUUCAGCCUUUGGUGAGCACCAGUCACUUCCAAAAGGAGAGAAAUCCUAUGAAUGUAAUAUAUGUGGAAAAUUGUUCUCUGAUUUGUCAUACUACACUGUACAUUAUAGAAGUCAUUCAGAAGAGAAGCCCUAUGGAUGUAAUGAAUGUGGGAAAACCUUCUCCCAUAAUUCGUCCCUCUUUAGACAUCAGAGAGUACACACAGGAGAGAAGCCUUAUGAGUGUUACGAAUGUGGAAAGUUCUUUUCUCAGAAGUCAUAUCUCACCAUACAUCAUAGAAUUCAUUCAGGAGAGAAACCCUACGAAUGUAGCAAAUGUGGAAAAGUCUUCUCUCGGAUGUCAAACCUCACUGUACACUAUAGAAGCCAUUCAGGAGAGAAACCCUAUGAAUGUAACGAAUGUGGAAAAGUCUUUUCUCAGAAGUCAUACCUCACUGUGCACUACAGGACUCAUUCAGGAGAGAAGCCCUAUGAAUGUAAUGAAUGUGGGAAAAAAUUCCACCACAGGUCAGCCUUCAACAGCCAUCAGAGGAUCCAUAGGAGAGGGAAUGCGAAUGUACUCGAUGGGGGCAGUCUCCUGUGAAGUCAGACCUCGUUUUAGAAAACCCUCUGAAUAUAAUGAUUUGGAGUCAAAUAUCAUGACCUGAGAGUUCGUGUUUCUGAGUGGGGAAAACAUUUCAGCAUUAGGUUCAUUUUAAUCUGACUUUUCACAGAGGAGAAUCCCUAAGAAGGCAACAGGAAGCAACGCCUUCAGCAAGACUCUACAACUCAUUGGACACUACGUAAUUUAUACAGGAGUCAAGUUUAUAAAUAUUUAAUAUUUAUUUUGGAUUCAAAUUGUAUUUACGUAUCAGGGAGUUGUACCAUGGUAAAGUCUGUCAGAGUGACAGAGUGAUAAACGUGAGAAAAUACUUUGUCUUGGAAGUUGUUAUACCAAAAGCCAUAUUUCUGAUGUAAAAUCACAUGUUCAUAGGAAAGAUAUCAGAAGCUAUCACCUCUGAAUGAACCUUUAUUGUAGAAAAGGAAGUUCUCAAAUCAUCAGGACUUGCCAAUGAGGUGGCAGUCUGAAUUUGGCCUGCAGACCAUAGUUGCUGAGCCCUGAUCUAAACUAUAAAAAGAAAACUACACAUCAACAAAAAUUAGAAAAUGGUCCAAAGACUUGGGCAUCCACUUCACAAAAGAGGAUAUCCAGAUGGCCAGCCAACAUGGAAAGGUAUGUUCAUUUUACUAGUAAUCAGGAAAACGCACAUUUUAAAAGUACCGUGUGGUACUGAUCCACCCCCUGAAAUGGUUAGAAUCAAAGGCAUGAGAGAGCGUCAUGUUUUGGCAGGAAUGUAGGCAACAGGCAGCCUGUGCUGCUGCUGGCGUUGCCCGUUGAUAGAACUGCUUUGGAGGCCGGCACUGCCAGCCGAACAUGUGUAUGGUCUUUACCCCCAUUCUAGCAGAAAUGCUUGUACAUGUCCUUCAGAGGACAUGUUCUGGAAUAUUCACGGUGUAAAAUUCAAAAGCCAGAGCUGUCUGAAGGCAUAUGAGCAGUAGGGUGAGUGGCCCUAAGUGGUAUGUUUCCGCUCAGAGUGCUGUAAAGCAGAGAAUGAACAGCACGGCUCAGUUUCACAAACAAGGUCAAAUGACAGACUCCAGACACCAAAGCGACCACCGUGUGUGAUUCUGUGUACAGUGUAGGAACAGGCAAAAUGUGCAGUUAGAAAUCAGGAGGGGCGAGCCUGGGCUGAGGCUGAAGGGGGCCCGCUGGUGCUGGUAACAUUGUUUUGAAACGUGGAUGCUGAAUAUCCAGGGUUCUGGGCACUGGGGAUACCUGUGUUCCUGCAUGUCUAUUGCAUUUCCACAAAAAGUUUUAGAGUCACAGGUGUCUACCAUUUUUGUUGCUCAGCACUUUUGCCGUAUUUUUCUAGAUGGUAAUGAAUAUGCUGCAGAACGAAUUCAGUGGUAGAUUUUGCAUAAUUCCAUGCAGAAAGUACUUUUCAUAGUAGUUUUAAUGUCAACUGCUAAGAUUUCCUACACUGUGACCAUAAAACUUAAUUACUAUAAUAUGUAUUUUAAAGAACCAUUGUCGUCCUAUCCUUUGCAUAUAUAAAUGGGUCUGAGCUGCCUCUUCAAUAAAGAACUAAUGUGUGUAAACAUU